CAGCAUUGAGACUUCAACACGCCAAACACCAUUGAAAUUGGAAAUGGAAGAAAUUUAGACUUUGUUUUUUAUUUUUUAAAAUUAACAUAUUUUUCUUUCAUAAUUAUAAUAUUUUCAAAUAAAACAUAGUAAUUUUUUUAAAAAUUCUAAUAAAAGUUCAAAAAUAAAAUCGCCUCUGACAAAAGAUUAGGCCUCAUUUUCAUCUCGUUGUUAUCCGUUUGUAUUGAUCAUCUCCGAUCUAUGAUCUAUCUCUAGAUCUGAACUUGAUAUCCAAAGGCUCUUUCUCACAUUCUUGAUCAGUUUGAUUGAUGAAUCGGAGACCUUUUCAAUCUAUCAGGUUAAUUCGGAUCCACAAUUAUCAACUUAUUAUUUAAGAUCCAGAUCUUAGAUUGUAUCGCUCCUUUCCUUUAGUUGUGCAUUGUUAAUUGCCUCAUUGAAAAUCAUUUGGUCCUUGAUAUCAGACAAUCAGAUGUAACCCGGCGGUUAUUGCCGGAGGAAGCCCGGUGUCCGAUGGAAGAGUUGCUGCCGGUAGAGGAGAGAGAUCCGGAAGAUUUAGACGUGUUUGAAGAAGUGGAUAUUAAAACUUGCUUUGGAGACGUCGUCUGCUGCAAUGUGAGACCUUCGCAGAGUCUGGAAGCAUUUCGUCCACCGGAGAGGCCGAUCGGAGUUAGGGUUUUCCGCCCAAUCGUAUUUGGGGGAAAACGGAAUUAACUACCGGACGUGUGGUGGAAAAAGAGGAAGAAAGAGGGUGAAAGGAAAAUUGCUAUUCUUAGUUAAUCUUUUUUCUUAUUGAUUAACUUGUAAAACAUUGAGUCCUUAUUAACUCUUAAUCACGUUUAUUUAUACAAAUAUUACGAAAUUGUUAACAGCUAAACAAGUAACUAAUUUUUUAAUUCUAAUUUAUUUGAGCUGGAUCUUGAUUCGAGUCCGAGUGCG
rnacentral:lncRNA from 1 species